rnacentral:tRNA from 1 species
GCAGUCGUGGCCGAGUGGUUAAGGCGAUGGACUCGAAAUCCAUUGUGGUUUCCCCGCACAGGUUCGAAUCCUGUCGGCUGCG